rnacentral:tRNA from 1 species
UUAAGAUGAAAUCAAGUUGAUGUUUCUUUUACAAUGAAAAAAAGCUUAUUGUUAGCCAUCUUAAG